rnacentral:rRNA from 1 species
AGUGAACGCUGGCGGUAGGCCUAACACAUGCAAGUCGAACGGCAGCACAGUAAGAGCUUGCUCUUACGGGUGGCGAGUGGCGGACGGGUGAGGAAUACAUCGGAAUCUACUUUUUCGUGGGGGAUAACGUAGGGAAACUUACGCUAAUACCGCAUACGACCUACGGGUGAAAGCAGGGGAUCUUCGGACCUUGCGCGAUUGAAUGAGCCGAUGUCGGAUUAGCUAGUUGGCGGGGUAAAGGCCCACCAAGGCGACGAUCCGUAGCUGGUCUGAGAGGAUGAUCAGCCACACUGGAACUGAGACACGGUCCAGACUCCUAAGGGAGGCAGCAGUGGGGAAUAUUAGGCAAUGGGCGGAAGCCUGAUCCAGCCAUACCGCGUGGGUGAAGAAGGCCUUCGGGUUGUAAAGCCCUUUUGUUGGGAAAGAAAAGCAGCAGGUUAAUACCCCGCUGUUCUGACGGUACCCAAAGAAUAAGCACCGGCUAACUUCGUG